AUUUAUCUAAUAUAAUAAGUAUACUUGACUUCCAAUCAAAAAGUUUGAUCAAACAAGAUAAAUA
rnacentral:tRNA from 1 species